AUGACUUCCCAACAUCCAGGGAACUAUGACAGCCAACCACUGGAUGAGAUGAUAUGUAAGUUGACGGUAGAGCAUGAAUGCUUAACGUACAGAAAGCAUUGCAUUCAUAAUCAUCUGCUCGUAAAAGGAAAAGAAGAGCAUUUAUAUGUUUUUUGGUCUAUUUCUUCAUGUGAAAAUCUUGUUUAACAAGAGUUGUGGUCCCAAGCUUCAGCAUCAGCAUAUCUUGCAAGAAAUUUUGCUUAAACAUCAAAGUAUAUCACACAUUCAAAUACUAGUAGAUGUUUUGAUACAAUCUUUUGGGAUUCCUUCCAAUGAAAAUGAUUCCUGGCCAGUUGUAGCCCCAGGAAUUCAAGAGGCCCUACUUAUAUAAAUAACAUGCAAUAUCAUAAACAUAAAGGGCUAAUAAGUGUCUUUCAUUUCCAACAGCAACUAAACUAGGUCCAAAAUAUUUGGGUUGGCUUCAACAACUAAUCAAUGUCAGCCACUAUAUUUAUAGAUACAAAUUACAAGUAUAUGGUUAAACGACUAAAUCUAUCAUUUUCUAAUAAUUUAAACUUUUGGGAGAAUCGAUAAUUUUAACAGUAUUAAUAAUUCUAAUUGAAACUAAAACUUUCAAUACUGAUAUACGUAUGAUAAAGGAGUCUUGAGUCUGAAUUUUGAAAAGUGCUAAACCAUUUUCCAUGAACAUGUUACAUGGAUGAAUCAGGACUGCUUUCCUGGUAUAUAGGAAAUGGCAAUUUCCAUACUGAAGUAUGCAGGAUUGUGCUUCUAUCCAACUUCCUCAUCAAUGUAGAAAGAAGCUAUAAAUUUACCAUAGGGUGCAGACAUGGGAAACUAAGAGCAGCCCACGAAAUCAAAGCAAUUCCUGAAUGGGAUAUUGAAGCAUCACAUGGAUGUGAAAUCGACUAAAAUGGUUUUCUACACAGGACAUUGUUAAUAAGUUUAUGUAUAUUUGAUUUUCAAUGGCAUACAGAUAAAAUGAUUGGCAACAUCUAUAUCUAUUACGAAUAAAUUAGCCGCAGACCCACAUAAUGGUGGGAAUAUAUAAAUAUUAUGUAAUGGGGUGUAAUAUAUAAAAAGUAACAAUUUCUUCAAGUAUUACUUAUUUUUUUUAAAAAGAUUUCUACCAAUAUUUUCUAUCUUUUUAUCUCUAUAAAGUACAAAUAUAUCAUACUAUUAUAUUUUGUAUGUUUAAUUAAUAUUUUUUUAAGGUGAACUAUGAUUUUCUAACUUCUGUUGUAGUGAAUUAUAUUUGAUAUAUAACUAAAUUUUAUAAGUUUCAAAUUUCUCAUCUCUUAAGAAAUAAUGAGAUUGUCAUAAUAAUAAAAAUUCAUCACAAAAUUACAAUGUUAUCUUAGCCAAAAUUAAAAUGAAACAAAAAGAAUAAAAGAUAGACUUUAUCAUAGUUUAUUACUCAAAAAAUUGGUAGGCAUAUUCAAAUUCAUAGUCAUGUAGAUUGUUGACAUAAACUUAAAUUCCUAUUUUCAAAAAAACUAAGUAUUAACCCAAAUCAAAAUUCAACCAAAGUUAUAAAAGGGACAAUAUGGAUUAAAUGGGAGAAAUGAUAUCAAAUUUCUACAAAAUCAAACAGGGAGAAGAAGAGUCAAAUAUAAGAAAACGAAAAUGAUGAAGGAAGUGUAACACUGAAGUAGAAAAUAGUGGGGAUAUAAAAAAGGUAAAGUAGAGAGUAGUGGGGAGAUAAAGAGGUAAAGAGAGAGGGGAAAGAUUGAAGGAAGAGUAAUAGUAAAUGUGGAUUAAUAGGGAGAAGAAGAUUUAAAAAAAUAAAUAAUAAAAAGAAUAAGGAGAAUAAAAGUUUAGAAAGAGAAAAUAAGUGAAUGAUGUGGCCGCUAAUAUGGCUCAAUAAAAGCGUAAUAAUAAUAAAUGCAACACUGCAACACUUAAGAUUUUAGAUAUAUAUAAAUUUCUUACCUAAACAAGUAAUAUAGACUUGUACCUACAAGCAAAAUGGAAUGCAAAUUGUAUAGUUUUUAUAUUUACAAAAAUUUACUUCACCAUACGAUGAAUGUGGUGAACCAGUUUGACAUCAUUUAAGCACAGAUGGAAAGUGGAAUUCAAUAUUGGGAAACACAUUCAAUCUCUUUAUAGAAAUAUUCUUGAACAAAAUCCACAAUCAAUUUAGCAACUGAGAUUGGCCUUUCGACAUGAGGAAGAUGACCACAACCUGGUAUUUCACGUAUAAUUGCAUUUGGUAGUUCACAGUGCAGUCUCUGCAUAAUGGGGAAUAUUGAAUCCUAAGAAGGUCAAAUAGAUUCAAAUCCCCCUCCCCCAAAACAAAACAAAACAAAACAAAAAAAAUCCUGAAUCCUGAGCAUGUUUNCCCCCCCAAAAAAAAAAAAAAAAAAAAAUCUUGAAUCCAGAGCAUGUUUUCCACUACUUUUGCAUUUGACGCUUUAUAUCCAUAAAAUUUACUAACCACUACAAGCUUGUUACUCAUGAUAUGGUCAUCCUCACCCCAUAUGAUAAGUGUCUUCUGCUUUACCUGGUACACAAAAUUGACAAUAGCAUUUUCAAAGACAGUAAAACUUUUGAAUUGAGAUAUGGGUUGAGAUAAAAACAAGAAUAUAACUGUGUAUGUUGGGUUAAGAUGGCUUGACCUAGUUAAUUAAUUUAAUUAUCCAAGUUGAUUAAUUAGGUUUAAUUGCAAACAAAUCGUGAAGGCACCAACAAAUCACCAAAAAUACUAAGCGCAGCAAAAAAUAAAUUAGAUACGGUGAUUUAUUGACAAAUGGAGAAAACCUCGCACGGCAAAAACCUCACCAGGUGAUUUUAAGGUCACCACUCUCAAGAAUUCACUAAUCAACAAUCAAGCAGUUAUAAGUAUAAGGAAUCUUACCAACUACCUUAGCCUAUCUCAAAAUACCAACCUAUAGUUAAACUUUUGCUCCAAUACCCAAUUAGACUUGAUCUUGUAGUAGCCUUCUUUCCCUUGAUGCACAAACCCCCAAUUUGUGACUAACCCUUUUACACAAACUUCAAUACUUAACCAACUCUAGCAACUUGAAUAGAUGUUGUUAGCUGCAAAGUUAUUCACUUCAUCAACAAUGUAGAUCAAGAAGCAUUUGGUUACAAAACCCUAUGACAUACAAACGCAUUAGCUUUUCUCACAAAGAAAAUAAGUGUCUUGAUCUCUAUAUCUGUAUGUGACGGCUCCUAAAAAUAAGUCUUAUAUAUGUCUAGGGUUGUAAGAAAAGAAACUCUAAACAAAUACACAAGUUUGGGCCGAAUUUCAGAUCUGAAAAUUUUGAAAUUGUAAAUCUUGAUAGAUUGAGCUGCUAUCGAGCUAUCUAUCAAGCUUCACAUUAAGUCUUGAUAGCAGGCUUCUGUCAAGCUUCUGUCGAAACUUAAAGAACAGUUUUUCUUCACUUGUUUUUUUGGACCAAUCUUCAUGUCUUUAAUAAUUGACUUGAACAAUAUGUUUCUUGAAGUACUAAACUCAUCUUAAAUCUACCUAAUUACAAGUAAAGUGUAUUUUGUCAAAAUAUUAGACAAUAAAAUAUGACCCUAAUAGAGUAUAUGCCAAUAAGCCUUCAUCUGGAACUAAAGGCAACUUCAUUCCCAUACAACAUUUAAGGAAAACUCCCAUCAGGAUUUUCUCUGUCUCUCUGUCUCUCUCUCAGAGACACACACAAAUGGUACAACUGUAAUUAAUCUUGUUAUGAAUAAUUCUAUUUAACAACUUUUAGGUUAAAAUGAAAACUUCAAUGAUAUGUGAGGAAGGCAAGUAACUUGUAGUAAAUUUCAUGCUUAGAUCUACCAAAAUUAUGCAUAGACACCUGCCACAUGUUCUGCACCAGAAAGAGAAGGGGAUGGGGGGGUGGAACUUCCUCUGACCCAAAAUUAUGAUUAUUAUUAUUAGGCAAAAAUGCAAAAUUGAUCCUCUAACUUUCACAUCUUUUCAUUUCAGUCCUCUAACUUUCAGUUUUGUCAAUUCAGUCUUCUAAUUUUCAAUUUUUUUUUUCGAUUAAGGCUCUGUUAAAGGUCUGUUACUGUUGGCGUUAAACACACCAAAACGACGCCGUUUUCAUUUGGUUUUUUUUUUUUUUUUAAUUUUAUUUUAGCUCAAAAAAAAAAAAAAACAAAAACAAAAACAAAAACAAAACAAUAGGGUGAAAAACCCAAAUCCUCAAGUCUCUCCUCUCCGACGUCGAAUUACUCAAAUCCUCUCUCUCCACUUCGAACUCCAAACUCCAGUCCGUCGCUAGACCGCUUCUCGACUCGCUCGACUCGUGCCUCGAGUCGCGAAUUGUAUUGCAGAAUGUCAAUCUCGCCCUUGGCUCAAUCUCCACCUGUGUCUGCUUGAUCGAGAUCUGUUCCCGAUCGAACUACCACUUGUCUCAGAAAAACUUCUACAUGGCGUUGAAGUGUUUGGACUCGAUCGAGAUCGAGUUGCUGGACAAAACGCCGUCGUCUACGCUCAGGCGAAUGCUGGAGAAAAAGAUCUCGGAGAUUCGCGCGCAUAUCGAGAGGCUAGUGAGCAAAGAGUUCGGCGAUUGGCUCGUCGAGAUACGAGUCGUGAGUCGGAACUUAGGUUAGUUAGCCAUAGGCCAAGCCUCCUCGGCUCGUCAGCGCGAAGAGGAUCUUCGAAUCAAGCAGCGCCAAGCAGAGAAGCAGAGUCGGCUUAG
rnacentral:sRNA from 1 species